rnacentral:lncRNA from 1 species
AAAUUGCAACAAAUAUAUAGAAAAGCUUACUAAUAUGAAGCUAGUUUUUAAAAAGAAAAAUGUAGUUUCCAGUUUGUUGCACAAUGACAAACCAAUGAUUGAUACAGAGAGUAGAAUGGGAGUGUACAAAAGACCUUUAAAAAAUAAGGACUUGAGAAGAGAUGAAAUAUAUAUUGGUUCAACUAAUAGGACCUUAAGAGCACGUAUCAAGGAACACAAAAAUGACAUAAAAAAAAGGUUUGUUCAACACAGCUCUGGUGACUAGGGCUUACAAACAUGAUAUUGAUAUAGAAUGGAACAAUGCGAAGAUUAUUAUGAG